rnacentral:rRNA from 1 species
UUGCCGGACCUGACUGCUAUCGGAUUGAUACUAAGCCAUGUGAGUCAUUGUAGCAAUACAAGGCAGACGGCUCAGUAACACGUAGCCAAUCUACCCUAUGGACGGGGAUAACCUCGGGAAACUGAGGAUAAACCCCGAUAGAUCAUUAUGCCUGGAAUGGUUAAUGGUUCAAAUGAUUCGUCGCCGUAGGAUGGGACUGCGGCCUAUCAGCUUGUUGGUGAGGUAAUGGCCCACCAAGGCUAUUACAGGUACGGGCUCUGAGAGGAGAAGCCCGGAGAUGGGUACUGAGACACGGACCCAGGCCCUAUGGGGCGCAGCAGGCGAGAAACCUUUGCAAUGUGCGCAAGCACGACAAGGUUAAUCCGAGUGUUUCCUGCUAAAGGAAUCUUUUGUUAGUCCUAAAAACACUAGCGAAUAAGGGGUGGGCAAGUUCUGGUGU